rnacentral:lncRNA from 1 species
GAUUAAGCCCAUCUAUCUCUGUUUUCCUAUACCUUGCUAACAGUUCCCGAUUUGUUUAUGACAGAAAUCAAAGUAUUUUGGAGGUUGGAAUCUGAUGGCAUAGAUUGCUCUCUUAACAAAAAAGAUAGGAAGGAUAUUGGGACAAAGAGAAAAACAUCUCUUUUUGGAUUGUGAGUAAAACUUCUGAAAGGAGGGAGAGUCUCCAGUAGCUGUCUUUACUGAUCAUCAUUUCUUUAUAAUCAGAGGAAUUGAUCACCUAGAUAUCCUCAUACUCCUCUUUCCCCCAAUCCCAACAGAGAAAGGGCUGCCAUCUUGGAAAUCUCAUGUAACACUGACCAUCAGUUCAUAAGUCUGAUGGAUGGAUGUCCCUGGUCCCAUUCUCUUGUCCAUC